AUUGAACGCUGGCGGCAGGCCUAACACAUGCAAGUCGAGCGAGCGGCGGACGGGUGAGUAAUGUAUGGGGAUCUGCCUGAUGGCGGGGGAUAACUACUGGAAACGGUAGCUAAUACCGCAUACCAUCAGAUGAACCCACAUGGGAUUAGCUUGUUGGUGGGGUAACGGCUCACCUAGGCGACGUUCCCUAGCUGGUCUGAGAGGGUGACCAGCCACACGGGGACUGAGACACGGCCCAGACUCCUACGGGAGGCAGCAGUGGGGAAUAUUGCGCAAUGGAGGCAAGCCUGACGCAGCCAUGCCGCGUGAAUGAAGAAGGCCUUCGGGUUGUAAAGUUCUUUCGGUAGCGAGGCGUUAUCUACAGAGGAAGUACCGGCUAACUCCGUGCCAGCAGCCGCGGUAAUUC
rnacentral:rRNA from 1 species